CAGAAACUCAGAUUUUUAUAGCUCUGCAUAACAAUGUUACACUGCAAUUCCCUGUGAGACAGAAGGAUUUGUCUUCUCCUUUUUUCACUGCUGUUCCUCAUCAUGGAGUAUCAGUGAAAUGAGGUUCAUUUUCUAAUGGUUAAUGAACUCCCUUUGUCCAAGACAGACAAAAUCAACAUUUACAAAUUAUUACAAACAGAAAACUUACUUUUUUCUCUCACUGUUCACUGAAUUUAAUAAACUUGAA